GACGAACCGUGCGAACGUUGUUCGGAAUCACUGGGCUUAAAGGGCGCGUAGGCGGGUUCGCAAGUCUGUGGUGAAAGCCUCCAGCUUAACUGGAGAAGUGCCGUGGAUACUGCGAAUCUUGAGGAGGGUAGGGGCAUCUGGAACGGUCGGUGGAGCGGUGAAAUGCGUUGAUAUCGACCGGAACUCCGGUGGCGAAGGCGAGGUGCUGGACCCUUUCUGACGCUGAGGCGCGAAGGUCAGGGGAGCAAACGGG
rnacentral:rRNA from 1 species